CAGUAGCCGCGGUAAUACGUAGGGUGCGAGCGUUAAUCGGAAUUACUGGGCGUAAAGCGUGCGCAGGCGGUUUUGUAAGACAGGCGUGAAAUCCCCGGGCUCAACCUGGGAAUGGCGCUUGUGACUGCAAAGCUAGAGUGCGGCAGAGGGGGAUGGAAUUCCGCGUGUAGCAGUGAAAUGCGUAGAUAUGCGGAGGAACACCGAUGGCGAAGGCAAUCCCCUGGGCCUGCACUGACGCUCAUGCACGAAAGCGUGGGGAGCAAACAGGAUUAGAUACCCCCGUAGUCCCUGUCUCUUAUAA
rnacentral:rRNA from 1 species